rnacentral:rRNA from 1 species
UACGGAGGGUGCAAGCGUUAUCCGGAUUCACUGGGUUUAAAGGGUGCGUAGGCGGCUUUAUAAGUCAUUGGUGAAAGCUCGCAGCUUAACUGCGAAACUGCCAUUGAAACUGUAAAGCUUGAAUGUGGUUGAAGUGGGCGGAAUACAACAUGUAGCGGUGAAAUGCUUAGAUAUGUUUUAGAACACCGAUUGCGAAGGCAGCUCACUAAGCCAAUAUUGACGCUGAGGCACGAAAGCGUGGGUAGCAAACAGG